GAUACGGGCCAGACUCCUACGGGAGGCAGCAGUAAUGGAUAUUGCGCAAUGGACGAAAGUCAGACGCAGCGACGCCGCGUGGGCGAUGAAUGCCUUCGGGUUGUAAAGCCCUUUUAUGGGGGAAGAGAAAAAGGACGGUACCCCAGGAAUAAGUCCCGGCUAACUACGUGCCAGCAGCCGCGGUAAAACGUAUGGGACAAGCGUUAUCCGGAUUCACUGGGCGUAAAGAGCGUUGAGGCGGUUCCGUAAGUUGGGCGUGAAAGCUCCGGGCUUAACUCGGAGAUGUCGUUCAAUACUGCGGGGCUUGAGGACAGCAGAGGAAGGUGGAAUUCCCGGUGUAGUGGUGAAAUGCGUAGAUAUCGGGAGGAACACCCGUGGCGAAGGCGGCCUUCUGGGCUGUUCCUGACGCUGAAGGCGAAAGCUAGGGGAGCGAACGGGAUUAGAUACCCCGGUAGUCCUAGCUGUAAACGAUGGAUGCUGGGUGUGGGGGGUGUAAAUUCCCUCUGUGCCGAAGCAAACGCGUUAAGCAUCCCGCCUGGGGACUACGGCCGCAAGGCUAAAACUCAAACGAAUUGACGGGGGCCCGCACAAGCAGCGGAGCGUGUGGCUUAAUUCGAUGCUACACGAAGAACCUUACCUGGGUUUGACAUGCACGUGGUAGGGAACCGAAAGGGGACCGACCUUCGGGAGCGUGCACAGGUGCUGCAUGGCUGUCGUCAGCUCGUGCCGUGAGGUGUCGGGUUAAGUCCCGUAACGAGCGCAACCCUUGCCCUUAGUUACAAGUGUCUAAGGGGACUGCCCGGGACAACUGGGAGGAAGGUGGGGAUGACGUCAAGUCAGCAUGGCCUUUAUAUCCAGGGCUACACACACGCUACAAUGGCCGGUACAAUAGGUUGCGAAGUCGUGAGGCGGAGCCAAUCCUCAAAGCCGGUCUCAGUUCGAAUUGCAGUCUGCAACUCGACUGCAUGAAGCUGGAGUUGCUAGUAAUCGCAGGUCAGCUAUACUGCGGUGAUACGUUCCCGGGCAUUGUACACACCGCCCGUCACGUCAUGGAAGCUGGCAACGCCUGAAGCCGGUGAGCUAACCCGAAAGGGAGCAGCCGUCGAGGGUGGGG
rnacentral:rRNA from 1 species